GAAAUGCGAUACAUAAUGUGAAUUGCAGAUCUCGUGAAUCAUUGAGUUUUUGAACGCACUUUGCACCGACUGUUUUUACAGGAGGUUUGUUUGUUUGAAAUGUUUG
rnacentral:rRNA from 1 species